AAAGCCUAAGUAGUGUUUCCUUGU
rnacentral:siRNA from 1 species